rnacentral:lncRNA from 1 species
GGGGAAUAUGAUACUCAGAGGGGAAUAUGAUCCUCAGAGGUGAAUAUGAAGAUUUGUUCAAUGACACGUGUAAAGUCUCAACCAAUCAAAUAUUGUUUAAACUAUCAAUAUGUAUAAACAGUGGAAUAAAAUUGAUUGUUCAAUUUUACUGUGGAAAUUGUUUAAUAAAGUUUUCAAUUUUUAAAUUCAAGUUCGGUGAAGAUUGAAACCAACAUGCUUGGACAAAAAAAGUUAUUUUGUAUUAGUUUAAUUCAACAGUUAUGGAGAGUAUAUUGCUAUCUGGAUAUUUUCUUUAAGAAAGAGACUGUUCUUCAGUCGACUGUGUUGCUUAUUCUUUAGUUUUCUAUGCUAUGUCAUGUGUUCUAUUGUUUGUCUGUUUGUCUUUUUUCAUUUCAGCCAGGCAUUGUCAGUUUAUUUUCGAUUUAUGAGUUUGACUUUUCCUCUGGUAUCUUUCGUCCCUCUUUUAGUUAUAUAUAGUCUAAUGUCUAAUGUCCAAUGUCUAUUGUGGCAAUGAAAUUCUGCUACUUUAGUAAUAAUACAUUAACCAGGCUUGCAUCACCUGUUCAAAUAAAGGACAAUUUCCUCUUCUUAAUAUUGAACAGACCUUGAUUUCGCAUUCUAAUAUAAAA